AUGAUGCUGGACAGCAAGCAAGGGCGCAACCUGCCGACCUUCCUCUUCAACCCGCCUCAGGUGUCGCUGGCUCCGGUGAUCAACAAGCUGCUCCUGUCGGAGCCGGUGAAGACGAAGCUGCAUGACGCCAACAACCUCCUGAAGGCUGGUCUCGGGCUGGUCCUGAGUCCCCACCGGAGGCACAUGGAGGAGGUCUUCCAGAAGCUGUCGCCGUGGGUACCCAGUCUGUACGUCCAUGACAAGGACAUCGUGUGCCAGGGCUUUAUCGACCACUUCGAGCAGCGGAGGCAGCUCGAUAAGAGCUUCCACGGUCUCGCCGGGUCCGCCGUAAAGCUUUCGUACCGUGACAUGCUCUACUCGUUCGUGCGUUCCAAGGAGAAGGAGCUGCCGCACCUUCUGCCGUCGGCGACGCUGUGGAGGAACUCAAGCAUGGACAAGGACGUCAACUGGCUCCACCGGCGGUUCCACGCGCACGAGCUGCAGCAGUGGUGGAAAGCGGAUGCCGACCUCGGGUUAAGUCCCAGCAGCUAUAGCCUAUAG
rnacentral:rRNA from 1 species